UUCUUUUCUUCCAGACAGGUACCCAGAACUAAAGCAUUUGCUCUUUAACUCCCAGUACACUGCAUGAUGUUGUGAUGUGGAAUACUGAUAACCAAAAAUCAUAAAACCAUGACAAACCUUCUCUGGGACCAUUAAAGAGCUAGCCUCCAAAAGGAGAAUAUUUUCUGGACAAAGACUAUUUUCUGAGAAGGAGUGUUUUACAGUUAGAGAGCCUUAUCACCAGAUGAGAAAGUGAAUUUUUUCUUAUGCACGAUCAUUGGUAUUGCAAAGAACUUGUCAGAAACAGUUAUACUGCUUCCUAGGACCAACAGAAGGAGUGCCCCUCUGCUGCUAUAUGUUGCAUGGCAACAAAAUUUAAUUGAAUAUUGGCGAAGAAAUUCUGCCUCUACUGCCAUACUGCCACCAUCUAUUUCUAGUCGAAAGAGUACAGCUAAAUUCCAAGUAUUAUAACCUCCCUGCAUUUAAUGGAAUGAGGGAAAUAAAUGCUUUUGCCUCUCUUGCGAGGGAAGAAAUAAGAAGUCUGAUAGCUCAUGCUGUGGAAUGUCUGGGGAAAAAAAACAUCUAAGUAACACAAAAACAUAAGGAAAGCCAUGGAACACAGGAUUUUGAUGUCUUCUGUGGGACAAUGCCUUGACUGAUGGAUUUUGGGAAACAGGGAGGAGGGUCAAACCAGAGAGGAGAUCUUUCUGUGUAAUUUCCGUAUACAGUCAUAGAACUGGGACUCUUUUUCCUAAACUGGAAGAAGAAUGGAGGGCUGGAAGCGGUAAAUACAGUUUUCAAAUUAGAGUACUUGCAGCAUACUCUCAUUCUCGAAGCUCAUCAGCUUUUUCUUAUUCUUACUGGUUAUUUACAUGAUUGUAUUUCUGAAUGUGUAACAUACUCAAGUGGUAUUUAAUGAUAUAUGAGUAUAUUCCAGUUGUAUAUUUUGGUGCACCAAUACUUCCAAAAAGAGCUUUUUUGUAAGCCUGAAAUAUUAUUUAAAAA
ensembl:lncRNA